UAGAGUUUGAUCCUGGCUCAGGAUGAACGCUAGCUACAGGCUUAACACAUGCAAGUCGAGGGGCAUCAUGGCGGUCGCUUGCGACCGCUGAUGGCGACCGGCGCACGGGUGCGUAACGCGUAUCGAACCUGCCGCAUACCCGGGGAUAGCCUUGCGAAAGCAAGAUUAAUACCCGAUGUUCUCACUGUUCCGCAUGUUACGGUGAGCAAAGAAUUUCGGUAUGCGAUGGCGAUGCGUCCCAUUAGCUAGUUGGCGGGGUAACGGCCCACCAAGGCUCCGAUGGGUAGGGGUUCUGAGAGGAAGGUCCCCCACACUGGAACUGAGACACGGUCCAGACUCCUACGGGAGGCAGCAGUGAGGAAUAUUGGUCAAUGGACGCAAGUCUGAACCAGCCAAGUAGCGUGCAGGAUGACGGCCCUCCGGGUUGUAAACUGCUUUUAGUUGGGAAUAAAAGGGGGCUCGUGAGCCCCGUAUUGUAUGUACCAUCAGAAAAAGGACCGGCUAAUUCCGUGCCAGCAGCCGCGGUAAUACGGAAGGUCCGGGCGUUAUCCGGAUUUAUUGGGUUUAAAGGGAGCGUAGGCCGGCUUUUAAGUCAGCUGUGAAAGUCCGCGGCUCAACCGUGGAAUUGCAGUUGAAACUGGAGGCCUUGAGUGCACACAGGGAUGCCGGAAUUCAUGGUGUAGCGGUGAAAUGCUUAGAUAUUAGGAAGAACACCAGUGGCGAAGGCGGCUCUCUGGUCUGCAACUGACGCUGAGGCUCGAAAGCAUGGGUAGCGAACAGGAUUAGAUACCCUGGUAGUCCAUGCCGUAAACGAUGAGUGCUAAGUGUUGGGAGGUUUCCGCCUCUCAGUGCUGCAGCUAACGCAUUAAGCACUCCGCCUGGGGAGUACGACCGCAAGGUUGAAACUCAAAGGAAUUGACGGGGGCCCGCACAAGCGGUGGAGCAUGUGGUUUAAUUCGAAGCAACGCGAAGAACCUUACCAAGGCUUGACAUCUCGAUGAUGAAUGUAGAGAUACAUUUUUUCUUCGGAACAUCGAUGACAGGUGGUGCAUGGUUGUCGUCAGCUCGUGUCGUGAGAUGUUGGGUUAAGUCCCGCAACGAGCGCAACCCUUAUCUUCAGUAGCCAGCACAUAGGGUGGGCACUCUGGAGAGACUGCCGUGGAUAACACGGAGGAAGGUGGGGAUGACGUCAAAUCAUCAUGCCCCUUAUGUCUUGGGCAACACACGUGCUACAAUGGCUGGAAACAAAGUGAAGCCAGGCGGCGACGCCGAGCGGAACCCGAAAUCCACUCUCAGUUCGGAUCGGAGUCUGCAACCCGACUCCGUGAAGCUGGAUUCGCUAGUAAUCGCGCAUCAGCCAUGGCGCGGUGAAUACGUUCCCGGGCCUUGCACUCACCGCCCGUCAAG
rnacentral:rRNA from 1 species